AUAUGGCUGACGAGUCUUAGAUAGGACGAAACGUGCGUUCUGGAU
rnacentral:hammerhead_ribozyme from 1 species